GCCAGGGAGCGCGCGCGGGGCGCGGCGCCUCAAACGGGGAACCGAUAGGCACUGCGGGCACGUCGUUCUCCAAGAGGCCACCUUGCUGUGAGCCAGACUUCCCAUCCGCAAAAUGGGAUGAUGAAACUCAGGCUCAGAGUGGUGAACUGGCUCUCCCAAGGUGACAGAGCUGGAGUUUGAACUGUGAUCCAUCUGCUCCAGAAUUUGUGUCCUUUCUUGGACUGGACAAAGCAGUUCGUGGAGUUCCAGUUUGUAGGUGAUGACACUGGGAUUUGCACCUUGAUCAGCCCAGCCUGAGGUGCUGAGUCCCCAUGAUGGAAGAGUCACACUUCCUGCCCUGGAGGAGCUCAUGGUCUCAUGGAGAAAAAAGACGAGAACCAUCCAUGCCAACAAAUAAAUAUAAAUACAUGGUGAUGAUUUCCAUGAAGAAAGCAAAUGAGAGGUUGAGAGAUGAUGGCAGAGAAAUCCUGCUUACUAUGGUGUGAUCAGGGAAGCCUUCCUGGAGGCAACAGUCAAGUUGAAACUCAGAGGAUGCAAUGAGAAGGGUAAACCAUGAGAAGGGCGAAGAGGAAGAUGUUCCAGGCAGAGGGAAUAGCAUGUGCAAAAUCCCUGAGGUAAGAAGGAGUUUAGCAUGCUGAAGAAACAGAAAGACGCCAGUGUGGGGAAAGCAGAGCA